rnacentral:rRNA from 1 species
UACGUAGGGUGCGAGCGUUAAUCGGAAUUACUGGGCGUAAAGCGUGCGCAGGCGGUUCGUUGUGUCCGAUGUGAAAGCCCCGGGCUUAACCUGGGAAUGGCAUUGGAAACUGGCGGGCUUGAGUGCGGCAGAGGGGGUGGAAUUCCGGCGUGUAGCAGUGAAAUGCGUAGAGAUGCGGAGGAACACCGAUGGCGAAGGCAGCCCCCUGGGUCGACACUGACGCUCAGGCACGAAAGCGUGGGGAGCAAACAGG